GCUGGGGUUAUUUUUGGCUGGGUAACACUUGUUGUGUUCCAUUUGCAGCUCUGUUCCCAAGGAGGGCACAAUCCCUUCCCCGCCCCGGCCUCCACCACUGCGGGCACUGAGCUUUCUCCACCCCAAAACUCCAUCCCUGGAUUUUCAAAGAUGCUGCAGCACGAAUUUUUGGCUGCUGAAAACUUUGGGAGAAGCUGGAUGCUUUUAAGCCCUCGAGCAGCGUGGUGUUAACAUUCCCAAAAAAGCACCAUGGCAACCUCUCAGUGCUCCUGCCUGCAUGGUCAGCAAGCAGAAGUCUCCAAAGGUAAAAAUAUCCUGAAUUUUUUCCCCUCCUUUCCAUUAGACUUUGAUUGGCUCAGUUAAUUCUACACCGGGAGUUAAACGAGGAUGGUGAUUCCAGAUAAAGCCUUGGAGACUUUAUCCAGAUAUUUAUUCCAGGUAAAGCCUUGGAGGUUUUAUCCAGAUUUUUAUUCCAGAUAAAGCCUUGGAGGUUUUAUCCCAGUUAUUAUUCCAGAUAAAGCCUUGGAGACUUUAUCCUGAUAUUUAUUCCAGGUAAAGCCUUGGAGGUUUUAUCCAGAUUUUUAUACCAGAUAAAGCCUUGGAGGUUUUAUUUCUAUUCCAGAUAAAGCCUUGGAGACUUUAUCCAGAUCUUUAUUCCAGAUAAAGC
rnacentral:lncRNA from 1 species